rnacentral:lncRNA from 1 species
ACUUCCUCCGCGUGGUCCCGGCCCCCGGGAUUCUGAGCGCUGGGGUCACUGGAGGAUUCCAAGGCUUCUGCCACGUAGGGUUGCAGCGUUUUUCUUCGUUUACGAGAACCGUGAGCCUCUCUGCACCACGACUUUUCCAUCCGAAAAAGGCACACUAAGAUCUGUGUGGAGUCAGCAGUUCAGUGAUGCCUGGUAUACUCCGAACACCCUACUUCAUUCCUGCUGCUUGCAGGGCACCAAGCUCCUUUCCGAGCAGCAACAAAGAUGAACGAGGGAACUUGACAUUUAUUGUGUACCAAGUGGGCCCCUUGUGCCAAAAUGCGAUUAAAAAUGGAUUUCUGCCAGAUUCCUCAUGAGGGAAGUGCAAGAAGCUGAAAGACCGGCUGAGAGUCACCCAGCCAGUAAGCAUGGCAGGACCUGAAACCCAGAUCCGCCCCUCUUUGGACGCUGUGCUCACUUACCAUGCCCAGGUCACACCAUCCUCCCACCCCCGGGCUAGAGCACCUUUCUCUUCCAGUCCCAGCAGCUCGCAAAGCUGAGACUAGAGGCCAGCCUGGACAAUUUAGUGGAACACUUUCUCAAAAAUCUAAAGGGCUGGGGGUGUAGCUCAGUGGUAAAGUGCCCCCAGGUUCUAUCCC